GAGGAACCCGCCGAGUCUGGCGCGGCCUCCGCGGACGCCUUCGACGCCGCGUGGGCCGGGAGGGCAGACGCGCCCACGCGGAAGCGCGCCUGCGCGGCGGAGGCGGCCCGCGGGAGCGGGGCUUCCCUCGCGGGCGGUGGCCUCGGGCGUGUGACGGGCUCCGAGCCUCGCUUCCGUAGCGCCUGCGGCCGCAGUGAGGUACGCGGGAAAGGCGCUGGGACAGCGGCCGGCGCGGCUGCAGACAGAGCAGGAACGGCUCCCCAGGUCUUCGUUCCGGCGGCGCCCCCGCCUGCCCGCCGCGCCCCCCGCGGACCCGCCCGCGCCUCUGCUCGGUGGUCCUCUCCGCCCGUCGGCAGCGUGAAUUCCCCGGGCGGUCAGGCGCAGGGCAGCUUCUUCAGCAGUGUAUUGUCAAACUUGGGUUUUUGCCAGUCUGAUAGGAAUCAAGAUCACCAGCUGAGAAGAAGUUUGGGAGUGAGGACUUGGGAGUUUGAGGAGAGAGGAGAAGAUUAAGACAUCACUAUAUUGACAACACCCUAAAACGGAACAGUUAAAAUAAGCCACUGUACAUCCUUAAAAUGGCCUACGAUGCAGCUGUUUAAAAGAAUGCGGUAAAUUUAUGUGCACUAAUAUGGAACAGCCACCCAGCUGUGUUAUGAUAAAAAAGGAAAGUGUGGAGCAGUGCAAGGAGCAUCCAUGUAUAGGCUUUGGUAACAAUCUGUCCAGUGGGUCACACUCGAGAACAGAAUAUUUUUAAUUUCAACAAGAAAAGAAUAGCAAAGAUGUCACGUAUUAAAUGCUGCCAUCUUCCUAUGAUGCCACUUCAGGAGAACUCUUUAAAGAACACUAACCUUCAGAAAGAUGUUUAUCUACUUGCAAGGAACAUAACCCCCAAGAGAUUUUCUGGACUGUUGCCUAAUUUGUUGGAUUUUUAUCAGAUUUCCUGCAUAUGCUCAGGCACUCACACUUAAUUAGUCAUAAUUCUUCUUUAGAAAAGGUUUGUGUUAGGGGCCGGCCCAUGGGUGAGUGUUUGGGUUCGUGAGCUCUGCUUCAGCGGCCCAGGGUUUCACCAGUUCGGAUCCUGGGUGCGGACACGGCACCACUCAUC